UCCUGGUUAACCCAGGCAGUCUCGCUAGAGUGCCCAACUAAAUGAUGGCAACUAACAAUAAGGGUUGCGCUCGUUGCGGGACUUAACCCAACACCUCACGGCACGAGCUGACGACAGCCAUGCAGCACCUGUGCACCGGCCCCGAAGGGACUCUACAUUUCUGUAGUUGUCCGGUGCAUGUCAAGCCUGGGUAAGGUUCUUCGCGUUGCAUCGAAUUAAACCACAUGCUCCACUGCUUGUGCGGGUCCCCGUCAAUUCUUUUGAGUUUCAGCCUUGCGACUGUACUUCCCAGGCGGUAUACUUAUCGCGUUUGCUACGGCACAGCCAGGGUUUAAGUCCAGCUACACCAAGUAUACAUCGUUUACGGCAAGGACUAC
rnacentral:misc_RNA from 1 species